rnacentral:rRNA from 1 species
CCUACGGGUGGCAGCAGUGGGGAAUAUUGCGCAAUGGGCGAAAGCCUGACGCAGCAACGCCGCGUGAAGGAUGAAGGCUUUCGGGUUGUAAACUUCUUUUGUUAGGGAAGAAAAUGCCGAUAUCUAACGAGUAAUCACCGACUAACACCUUGCCAGCAGCCGCGGGAAUACGGAGGUUGAGAGCGUUACUCGGAGUCACUGGGCGUAAAGAGCGCGUAGGCGGGAUAGCAAGUCAGAUGUGAAAUCCUAGGGCUUAACCAUAGUACUGCAUGUGAUACUGUAAUUCUAGAGUAUGGGAGAGGUAGGUGGAAUUCCUGGUGUAGCGGUGAAAUGCGUAGAGAUCAGGAGGAAUACUGAUUGCGAAGGCGACCUGCUAGA